ACAAGGUAUUCAAUGCUGCUUUCUUUCUCUCCUCCAUGAUGACCUCUGCUGUUGAUGUAUUCUUGCCUACACAGAUUUAGGAACAUCCUGAACUUGGAAAUGGAUACUCCUUUGGGAUGCCCCUAUAUCAGCUUUAGCUGAGACCACCAGAUUUGUCUGCAUGGGAAACACUACUGUUACUCUGAUAGGCAUCAAGUUGGAUCCCUGAAGCUUCUCCAAGAUGUUUUCAAGCCACUAGGAAGUGUUUUUGCCAUCACCACAAAGAGGAGGAUGUGAGUAGACCAAGAUGCCCUGGGAUGUAAGGAAGGAGAGGCUGUCCUGUCAGGGAGGUCUAUUGUGAAAUGAAACUAAAGUAUGAUACUUUAGCUAGUUGUGAAUUAAAUGGCGUUUAUGAUCUAGCCUGAGCCCCAUUCAAAAUUCGUCAUAUUAUUUUAUAGGAAACAUAUUAAGUAAACUUUUGGUUGGAGAUAAAUUACAAUAUUUUUUUCUUUCUUUUUUUUAACAAGUGGCUGCACCUGUGGCAUAUGGAAGUUCCUGACCAGGAGUCGAGCCACAGCCAUUGUAGAAGCAACACCGAGUAGU
rnacentral:lncRNA from 1 species